ACCUGGGUGGCUCAGUCGGUUGAGCGUCUGACUUCGACUCAGGUCAUGAUCUCGCGGCUGUGGGUUCGACGCCCGCAUCUGGUU
rnacentral:tRNA from 1 species